rnacentral:rRNA from 1 species
UGGGGAAUUUUGGACAAUGGGGGCAACCCUGAUCCAGCCAUGCCGCGUGCGGGAAGAAGGCCUUCGGGUUGUAAACCGCUUUUGGUCGGAAAGAAAAGCCAUCCGCUAAUACCGGAUGGUCUUGACGGUACCGGCAGAAUAAGCACCGGCUAACUACGUGCCAGCAGCCGCGGUAAUACGUAGGGUGCGAGCGUUAAUCGGAAUUACUGGGCGUAAAGCGUGCGCAGGCGGUUUGUUAAGUCUGCUGUGAAAGCCCCGGGCUCAACCUGGGAACGGCAGUGGAAACUAGCAAGCUAGAGUGUGUCAGAGGGGGGUGGAAUUCCACGUGUAGCAGUGAAAUGCGUAGAGAUGUGGAGGAACACCAAUGGCGAAGGCAGCCCCCUGGGAUAACACUGACGCUCAGGCACGAAAGCGUGGGGAGCAAACAG